UCGCAGCUUAUUAAGCCGACCAGCUUUUGCUUUGAUCUGAAGUUGGUGUGCAAAGGCUGCGUACAGUAAGUCCUUGGUUUGUGUAUGUGCUUUGUCUCUCGUACAAAGCGCUCAAAGGGACCUCGGAGACACGC